rnacentral:rRNA from 1 species
ACGCUGGCGGCAGGCCUAACACAUGCAAGUCGAGCGGUAGAGAGAAGCUUGCUUCUCUUGAGAGCGGCGGACGGGUGAGUAAUGCCUAGGAAUCUGCCUGUAGUGGGGGAUAACGUCCGGAAACGGACGCUAAUACCGCAUACGUCCUACGGGAGAAAGCAGGGGACCUUCGGGCCUUGCGCUAUCAGAUGAGCCUAGGCCGGAUUAGCUAGUUGGUGGGGUAAUGGCUCACCAAGGCGACGAUCCGUAACUGGUCUGAGAGGAUGAUCAGUCACACUGGAACUGAGACACGGUCCAGACUCCUACGGGAGGCAGCAGUGGGGAAUAUUGGACAAUGGGCGAAAGCCUGAUCCAGCCAUGCCGCGUGUGUGAAGAAGGUCUUCGGAUUGUAAAGCACUUUAAGUUGGGGGGAAGGGCAGUAAAUUAAUACUUUGCUGUUUUGACGUUACCGACAGAAUAAGCACCGGCUAACUCUGUGCCAGCAGCCGCGGUAAUACAGAGGGUGCAAGCGUUAAUCGGAAUUACUGGGCGUAAAGCGCGCGUAGGUGGUUCGUUAAGUUGGAUGUGAAAUCCCCGGGCUCAACCUGGGAACUGCAUCCAAAACUGACGAGCUAGAGUAUGGUAGAGGGUGGUGGAAUUUCCUGUGUAGCGGUGAAAUGCGUAGAUAUAGGAAGGAACACCAGUGGCGAAGGCGACCACCUGGACUGAUACUGACACUGAGGUGCGAAAGCGUGGGGAGCAAAC